AUAUACUGCUUCCUAUUUCAUGCCUGACUUGAAGAUCCUUGGUGUGUAUGUGCAGCCUGGGCUUGGUCGCUCCCAGAAGAGUUGGCUGCCCUGAUACCAUCGUGUAGACCUUACCCCUUGUUCCUGUCGACAGUGGGCAGAAAUGUAAAUCCUAGAAAAUCCUUUUAAGAGCCGACAUCACUUCCCAUGCUGCCUCCAUCGCCAGGGGACACAGGCAACCAGCUCGGCAGAGCCCACUGUGCGGACUGAGCUGAUGGGGCAGAUCCCUCCUCCCAGUACAUCCUGCCUGGUGGAGCACGGUACCUUGAGGAUCCAGACAACCAGGUAAUCUGCAGAAUGGCGGCCAUGCUGACCAUGCACAGUUGAACGCCUGCUGCUGCCUUGAACUGUGUGGUGCCUGGAAACUCUUCCAAGUUUGGAAGAUAGCAACAUUUUCUGAGCUCUGCUCAGAUAACAUGAAGAAAGCGUGUUCAGACUGCUUCACAGCUGUGUCCCACACUUCCCCCUGUGCUCUCAACUGUGUGCAUCAAACUCCUCAG
rnacentral:lncRNA from 1 species